rnacentral:rRNA from 1 species
UACAGAGGAGCCAAGCGUUGUCCGGAUUGACUGGGCGUAAAGCGCACGCAGGCGGAUGCGCGCGUGGGGUGUGAAAUCUGACCGCUUAACGGCCAGGCGCCAUCCCAUACGGCGCGUCUGGAGCCUUGCAGAGGUCGGUGGAAUUGCCGGUGUAGUGGUGAAAUGCGUAGAUAUUGGGAGGAACACCAGUGGCGAAGGCGGCUCGCUGGACCGGAACUGACGCUGAGGCGCGAAAGCGUGGGGAGCAAACAGG